CUGCNGNAGGCUACUGCUAUCGGGGUUCGAUUAAGCCAUGCGAGUUAAAUGUUNUUCGUGAACAUAGCGAACUGCUCAGUAACACGUGGAUAACCUACCCUUAGGACCGGAAUAACCCCGGGAAACUGGGGAUAAUACCGGAUAAGCCAUAGACGCUGGAAUGCCCUAUGGUUCAAAGCUCCGGCGCCUAAGGAUGGAUCUGCGGUCUAUCAGGUUGUAGUGGGUGUAACGUACCUACUAGCCGACGACGGAUACGGGUUGUGAGAGCAAGAGCCCGGAGAUGGAUUCUGAGACACGAAUCCAGGCCCUACGGGGUGCAGCAGGCGCGAACACUUUACAAUGCGGGAAACCGCGAUAAGGGAACCCCGAGUGACAGCAUCAAAUGUUGGCUGUCCAGAUGGUUAAAAAUCAUUUGUUAGCAAGGGCCGGGCAAGACCGGUGCCAGCCGCCGCGGUAACACCGGCGGCCCGAGUGGUAGCCGUUUUUAUUGGGUCUAAAGGGUCCGUAGCCGGCCUGAUAAGUCCUUUGGGAAAUCUGACAGCUUAACUGUCAGGCUUCUAAGGGAUACUGUCAGGCUUGGGACCGGAAGAGGUAAGGGGUACUCCAGGGGUAGGAGUGAAAUCUUGUAAUCCCUGGGGGACCAUCUGUGGCGAAGGCGCCUUACCAGAACGGGUCCGACGGUGAGGGACGAAAGCUAGGGGAGCAAACCGGAUUAGAUACCCGGGUAGUCCUAGCUGUAAACGAUGCUCGCUAGGUGUCAGACAUGGUGCGACCGUGUUUGGUGCCGCAGGGAAGCCGUUAAGCGAGCCACCUGGGAAGUACGGUCGCAAGGCUGAAACUUAAAGGAAUUGGCGGG
rnacentral:rRNA from 1 species